rnacentral:lncRNA from 1 species
AUUUUACGGGGUUAUUAUUGUUGUUGUUGUUGUUGUUAUGACUUAAAAGUCUUAAAAAUAGAGGUAGAUAACUAUACGGUAAAAUAAAUAAUCUAUUUACUAGUUGAGACAGAAACCCUUAUUAUCAAACUCAUCCUAACAUGAGAUAGGCAAAAACACACAAAAAUCAACCAUCAUCAAGAAGUCAAAUAAAACGAAUGUAAAAGAACGAAAAUAAAGCAAGACGCCAUAGGCGCCCCCAAGCAUAGUUCGCUUGUUUUCUCGCUAUCCGAUGCUCUAAGAAAGAUGGUAUGCAAUAACCCCAUGUGAUGGUGGUAGCGUUGAGUCACGAGUGGCUCCGAUUUGCUCCAAGUGACUUUUGCAGGGCGGUGAACUAAGACGUGGAUCUAAGGUGCACUAUCUAACUCUGACCUCGAAAGUGCUAAUUAAAACUGCCGGAAUGAACAUCAUAAUGCCUCUGUUUCAGUUCAGAAACCAACAAAGGCUGAGAAGCUAAGUUUUUUAAAGCAGUUUUAAAGAGGUAAAAAUGAGCAAAGAGCAAGCGAGUUUCAAGGUUAGCAGCAGCGGCCAAAGAUGAUCCAAAAUUGCUUCCAGAUUGGAGUAUUUAUAUAGGUAACUCUAGGGUUUCAAUUUUGAACGGGAUUUCAAAUUUCCCAUUUUGAGUGUCAAAAUAGCCGUUCAAAAAUGGUCGAAAUUGCAGAUGUGAGACAAGAUUUGAACAAAAAUGGAGUGUACAUCUUUCUGGCAGAGCUUAUAAAAGUUAUAAUCUUUGACACAAAUAGGAAGAUGUCAAAAUCUAUGCUAGAGAAGAGGGCAGCAGAUGGAGAAAUAUUUUGAGAAAACCUAGUUAUGAUAUUUACUAUUUAGUGGGGCAAUGUGAGGAGGGGAACAUUGGGUUGUAGAGAAAAGGAUUUUGGGCCAUCUUUCGGCUGAAAUGCAAUAACCUUUUCUUAUUCUUUUAGUUGUGUUUUUGGGCUUCCCUUUAUUAAUAAUUUGGACUCAAUAAAAAAUACUUUGAGCUUUUAUAAUAUUAUU